ACCGGCAGAUUCCGCCGGGGGUGGCAGCCCCGGGGCCGGGUGCGAUCGCCGCCCCGCCUCGGCCCGGUGCCGGCCGCGGGCCCCGCCGCAAGUGGGAGGUUUAUAUUGGAUAUCAGGAGAAAUUUCUUCACUGGCAGAGUGGUGAAGCCCUGACAGAGGCUGCCCAGGGCAGUGGUGGAAUCUCCAUCCCUGGAGGGGUUCAAGACCUCUGUAGAUGUGGAACUUUGGGACAUGGUUUAGCAGAUACCGUGGGGCUGGGCUGAUGGUUGGCCUGGCUGCCCCUUCCUCGCCAGCCACCUGACGCUGGCCAUCCCCAUCAUUGCAGCCCUCCUCUUCUUCGUCAUCAGCUGCCUGCUCCAGACCAGCUUCAGAGACCCCGGGAUCUUGCUCCGGGACCUGGAAAAGUGGAUCGGCAGCAUGGGGACCUCUACUUACCGCCCGCCAGCCCGCACGAUGGAAGUGGUCAUCAACAAGUAUGUGGUGAAACUCAAGUACU